rnacentral:rRNA from 1 species
GUGUCAGCCGCCGCGGUAAAACGUAGGGGACAAGCGUUAUCCGGAUUUACUGGGCGUAAAGAGCCCGUAGGCGGUCCAGCAAGUUGGACGUGAAAGCUCCCGGCUUAACUGGGAGAGGUCGUUCAAAACUGCUGGACUGGAGGCUGAGAGAGGCGAGCGGAAUUCCCGGUGUAGUGGUGGAAUGCGUAGAUAUCGGGAGGAACACCAGUGGCGAAGGCGGCUCGCUGGCUCAGACCUGACGCUGAGGGGCGAAAGCGUGGGGAGCGAACGGGAUUAGAAACCCGCGUAGUCC